UUCACCGUACGCAUAUCCCUAUUCACGGUAAACUGGUCCGCCAUUCCAUCUAUAGCGUCCGAUAAGUGAACACAACAGGGGUCCAGUUUAUAUUCACGGUUCAUUAAGCCGCUUUCGGUUAAUUGGUUGAUGUAUUUGGCGGGAAAUUAUGUGGAGGCCGGAAGUCAUGACCUAACACUGGAACUGCUAGAAAAUUAACACCUACCUACUUAAUAACUUGAUCGCUUUGUGUUUGGAAAUUCAUUAUGUUAUCAGUCAGGUCAGUCUUAUUCUUUCUUUAAUGACACAAAAUGGCCCUGCCACUGUGUAAUUUAAUGUUAACCGAUAAUAUAAUGAAUGUUUAGCUUGAUUCGAAUGACGAGAACGAGUAAAUAAAGAUAUUCAUAUGAUAUACCUCUUGUUAAUGGCUAGAUUAUGUCUUAUUGUUACCAGUCCAGAUAUUCAUCUUAAGUCAUAACUCCUGCCAAUGAAAGUUAAAUGAUCAAAUAUGCGAAAAUUUAAGUUGACAUAUUUAAAUGA
rnacentral:lncRNA from 1 species